rnacentral:lncRNA from 1 species
UUAAAGAUCUUCAUGGCAAAAUGAAGGUCAAGGGUCUCAUAAAAUUCUUGAUGUUCUGAAUUUGCCAAUCUAAAGUCAAUCUUCAAACUCUAAAACAAAGGUGCAAUAAAAAGGUAAACAUUCACUUGUUUUUUUUCUCCAUUUUUCAUAUCUAUGAAACAAACCAAUGAAUUCCUGCACUCUAGAGUAAGCCCUAUGACACCAAAGUCGCACAGCUGAGCAGGUAGUAAAAACAAGUACUAGAACCCAGUUCUUUUCUUUAUUCAGGAUUUCUUUCACUCAACAAUUCUCCUUUGCUUUGGUUUGCUUUAAUUUUGCAAAUAUAUCCUCCUGAAAGAAUAAUACUUCUGGUUUCAUGGCCAUUUGCCUUAGGUACUACUUUGUGCUUGCUACUCCAUUUCCAAGACAGUUUUCCCAAAGGUCUCAUGUCUGCUCAUGAAAUCAUUUCAUUUUACCUACUAGAUUGUUUCUGUAUGUGCUAUUCUAAUACAAGGGUUCUAUCAUUUUUUUACAGCUCCCAGACUUGUUUUCAUCAGCUGACACUUUGAUAAAGAAAAAUGAAAAAUCCUCUAACUUAAGGAUACAUGAUAUUACUGUUAAAGAAGCAAAGAACUAUCUUCUUCGAAUCUUAAACAUCAUAUCAAUAGAUACACUAGGUAGUCAAGCAGCAGCGUAUACUCAGCCUAUUGUCUUAGAGAGGAGAAAAAUUCAGGACCCCAAAAGAAUGAUUAAAAUCCUCCACCAGAGCUUAUUAACACGCUCCAGAUCAAUAACAUCAAAAGAGAAGUUGGUUGUACCUUCCAAAGUAUUUUCCCAGUAUUCAAGAAUCCCUGAGCCAUUGCACACUUAUCCUUAUGAGCUUCUGGUCCAGAAAUGUCUCCCUCUUAUGCUACCAUUAGUGAUAAGAGAUAAUAUUCUUAAUGAGAAGAUUUUAUGUAGGUUAGUUCUUUUUAAUGUUGCCCCUCCCAAAGCAAAAGUCUUUGCACCACAAACAAAGAGGCCAAAAUUCUCUCGGAAAUUGCUCCAGCCAGAAAAACAAUUCAUGGAUCUAAGAGACCUUCAAUGGAAAUAUUAUAAGGGUAUUUUGAAGUGGAAUCAAAAAUUACCAUUGAUAUUCAAGGAGAUACCUCCUAUUCUUGAAAAAAGAUUUGUAUCAGAAAUGAUCUCAUCAGAUUAUCAACCCACCUUUAUUUUCCCGCAUGAAAAAAUCAUUGUAACUGAUACACCAUAAAGAGUGGGUUGUUUGAAUUAAGUAGAACCUUCCAUUAAAUAAAACUGUGCAUCCAUGGUUAUGAUUUUUAGAU